AGCGAACGCUGGCGGCAGGCUUAACACAUGCAAGUCGAACGGGCACCUUCGGGUGUCAGUGGCAGACGGGUGAGUAACACGUGGGAACGUACCCUUUGGUUCGGAACAACUCUGGGAAACUGGAGCUAAUACCGGAUACGCCCUGAUGGGGAAAGGUUUACUGCCGAAGGAUCGGCCCGCGUCUGAUUAGCUAGUUGGUGGGGUAACGGCCCACCAAGGCGACGAUCAGUAGCUGGUCUGAGAGGAUGAUCAGCCACACUGGGACUGAGACACGGCCCAGACUCCUACGGGAGGCAGCAGUGGGGAAUAUUGGACAAUGGGCGCAAGCCUGAUCCAGCCAUGCCGCGUGAGUGAUGAAGGCCUUAGGGUUGUAAAGCUCUUUUGUCCGGGACGAUAAUGACGGUACCGGAAGAAUAAG
rnacentral:rRNA from 1 species